rnacentral:lncRNA from 1 species
CUAUGGAAGUUCAGACGAAGUUCGAUUUUUAUAGAAGUCUGGAUGGGGACCGCUUAUUGAAGAAGCUCGACUGAAGUCCGUCUGUAAUAGAAGUUCAGAAGGAAUUCGUUUACAGUAGAAGCUCGGAUGGAAUUCACUUACAGUAGAGAUCCAGAGUACACCACUCGCAGUAGAAGUUCGGAGUAGACCGCUUGCAGUAGAAGUUCGGAGUAGAUCAUUUGCAGUAGAAGUUCGGCUGAAAUUCGAAAGGCGGUCGACCACUGUG